rnacentral:rRNA from 1 species
AACGAACGCUGGCGGCAGGCUUAACACAUGCAAGUCGAACGCAUCCUUCGGGGUGAGUGGCAGACGGGUGAGUAACGCGUGGGAACGUGCCCUUCAGUUCGGGAUAACCCAGGGAAACUUGGGCUAAUACCGGAUACGUGCGGGAGCAGAAAGAUUUAUCGCUGAAGGAUCGGCCCGCGUCUGAUUAGCUAGUUGGUGGGGUAAUGGCCCACCAAGGCGACGAUCAGUAGCUGGUCUGAGAGGAUGAUCAGCCACAUUGGGACUGAGACACGGCCCAAACUCCUACGGGAGGCAGCAGUGGGGAAUAUUGGACGAUGGGCGCAAGCCUGAUCCAGCCAUGCCGCGUGAGUGAUGAAGGCCUUAAGGUUGUAAAGCUCUUUCGUCCGGGACGAUAAUGACGGUACCGGAAGAAGAAGCCCCGGCUAGCUUCGUGCCAGCAGCCGCAGUAA